rnacentral:rRNA from 1 species
CCUGAACGCUGGCGGCGUGGCUAAGACAUGCAAGUCGAACGGUUUCCGUAGCAAUACGGGGACAGUGGCGGACGGGUGAGUAAUGAAUCGCUAACGUACCCUCCCGUCUGGGAUAGCCGAGGGAAACUUCGGGUAAUACCAGAUGACACCCCCGGGUCGCAUGGCCUGGGCGUCAAAGGAAGCAAUCCGCGGGUGGCGCGGGCGAUUUCGUAUCAGCUAGUUGGUGGGGUAACGGCCCACCAAGGCGACGACGCGUAGCCGGACUGAGAGGUUGGCCGGCCACAUUGGGACUGAGACACUGCCCAGACUCCUACGGGGGGCGUGCAGUAACGAAUCUUCCGCAAUGCACGCAAGUGUGACGGAGCGACGCCGCGUGUGGGACGAAGUCCUCGG